ACGAACGCUGGCGGUAUGCUUAACACAUGCAAGUCGAACGGAUUUAUUUGGGGUAACCUGGGUAAAUUAGUGGCAAACGGGUGAGUAAUACAUAGGAAUCUACCCAACAGUAAGGAAUAACCCUGGGAAACCAGAGCUAAUGCCAUAUAUUACCGAGUAAUCGGGAAAGAUUUAUCGCUGUUGGAUGAGCCUUUGUCGGAUUAGCUAGUUGGUAGGGUAAUGGCCUACCAAGGCGAUGAUCCGUAGCUGGUCUGAGAGGAUGAUCAGCCACACUGGGACUGCGACACGGCCCAGACUCCUACGGGAGGCAGCAGUGGGGAAUAUUGGACAAUGGGCGCAAGCCUGAUCCAGCAAUACCGCGUGAGUGAUGAAGGCCUUCGGGUUGUAAAGCUCUUUUAGUGGGGAAGAUAAUGACGGUACCCACAGAAAAAGCACCGGCUAACUUCGU
rnacentral:rRNA from 1 species